rnacentral:rRNA from 1 species
AGGUUAAGUUAACAAGGGCGCAUGGUGAAUGCCUUGGCACUAGGAGCCGAUGAAGGACGGGACUAACACCGAUAUGCUUCGGGGAGCUGUACGUAAGCUAUGAUCCGGAGAUUUCCGAAUGGGGCAACCCAGCAGUUUUAAUCAACUGUUACCACUAGAUGAAUUCAUAGUCUAGUUGGAGGUAAACGCUGUGAACUGAAACAUCUCAUUAGCAGCAGGAAUAUAAAGAAAUUUCGAUUCCCUAAGUAGCGGCGAGCGAACGGGGAACAGCCCAAACCAAAGUGCUUGCACUUUGGGUUGUAGGACUGAACAUUUGAGUUACCAAAGAACUUGAUAGUCGAAGGAUUUGGGAAAAUCCGCCAUAGAUGGUGAUAGCCCAGUAGAUUAAAUCAAAUUCUCUCAGUUCAGGAUCCUGAGUACGGCGGAACACGUGAAAUUCCGUCGGAAUCCGGGAGGACCAUCUCCCAAGGCUAAAUACUACCUAGUGACCGAUAGUGAACCAGUACCGUGAGGGAAAGGUGAAAAGCACCCCGGGAGGGGAGUGAAAUAGUUCCUGAAACCAUGUGCCUACAAUAAGUCAGAGCGCGUUAAUGCGUGAUGGCGUGCCUUUUGUAGAAUGAACCGGCGAGUUAUGAUCCCGUGCAAGGUUAAGACUAAAAAGUCGGAGCCGUAGCGAAAGCGAGUCUGAAAUGGGCGUUUUGAGUACGAGGUUAUAGACCCGAAACCAGGUGACCUAUCCAUGUCCAGGUUGAAGGUGCGGUAAAACGCACUGGAGGACCGAACCCGUGUAAGUUGAAAAUUGCUGGGAUGAGGUGUGGAUAGCGGUGAAAUUCCAAACGAACUUGGAGAUAGCUGGUUCUCUCCGAAAUAGCUUUAGGGCUAGCCUCGGAAUUAGGAUCAUGGAGGUAGAGCACUAUUUGGACUAGGGGCCCGUCUUGGGUUACUGAAUUCAGAUAAACUCCGAAUGCCAUUGAUUCAUAUCCGGGAGUCAGACGAUGAGUGAUAAGAUCCACCGUCGAAAGGGGAACAGCCCAGACCAUCAGUUAAGGUCCCUAAAUGUAUGCUAAGUGGAAAAGGAUGUGGAGUUGCAUAGACAACUAGGAUGUUGGCUCAGAAGCAGCCACCAUUUAAAGAGUGCGUAAUAGCUCUAGUCGAGUGAUCCUGCGCCGAAAAUGUACCGGGGCUAAGCAUACUACCGAAACCAUGGAUGCGACCAUUAGGUCGCGUGAUAGGAGAGCGUUCUAAGGGCGGUGAAGCAAGAUCGUGAGGACUUGUGGAGCGCUUAGAAGUGAGAAUGCCGGUAUGAGUAGCGAAAGAUAGGUGAGAAUCCUAUCCACCGAAUGACUAAGGUUUCCUGGGGAAGGCUCGUCCUCCCAGGGUUAGUCGGGACCUAAGUCGAGGCCGAGAGGCGUAGACGGAUAACAGGUUGAGAUUCCUGUACUAGUUAAGUGCGUUUGAGCAAUGGAGGGACGCAGGAGGCUAAGAUGUGCAUUCUGUUGGAUUAGAAUGUCCAAGCAGUAAGUCUUGUGAAGAGUCAAAUGCUUUUCACUUUAAGGACAAGCUGUGAUGGGGAGCGAAAUUUAGUAGCGAAGCGUCUGAUGUCACACUGCCGAGAAAAGCUUCUAGUGAGUACUUAACUACCCGUACCGCAAACCGACACAGGUAGUCGAGGAGAGAAUCCUAAGGUGAGCGAGUGAACUCUCGUUAAGGAACUCGGCAAAAUGACCCCGUAACUUCGGGAGAAGGGGUGCUGAUCGCAAGAUCAGCCGCAGUGAAUAGGCCCAGGCGACUGUUUAUCAAAAACACAGGUCUCUGCAAAAAUCGUAAGAUGACGUAUAGGGGCUGACGCCUGCCCGGUGCUGGAAGGUUAAAAGGAUGGGUUAGCUUCGGCGAAGCUCAGAAUUGAAGCCCCAGUAAACGGCGGCCGUAACUAUAACGGUCCUAAGGUAGCGAAAUUCCUUGUCGGGUAAGUUCCGACCCGCACGAAAGGCGUAACGAUCUGGGCACUGUCUCAACGAGAGACUCGGUGAAAUUAUAUUGUCCGUGAAGAUGCGGACUACCCGCGACAGGACGGAAAGACCCCAUGGAGCUUUACUGUAGCUUGAUAUUGAGUGUUUGUACAGCUUGUACAGGAUAGGUAGGAGCCAUAGAAACCGGAACGCUAGUUUCGGUGGAGGCGUUGGUGGGAUACUACCCUCGCUGUAUGACCACUCUAACCCGCACCACUAAUCGUGGUGGGAGACAGUGUCAGGUGGGCAGUUUGACUGGGGCGGUCGCCUCCUAAAAAGUAACGGAGGCGCCCAAAGGUUCCCUCAGAAUGGUUGGAAAUCAUUCGCAGAGUGUAAAGGCACAAGGGAGCUUGACUGCGAGACAGACAGGUCGAGCAGGGACGAAAGUCGGGCUUAGUGAUCCGGUGGUACCGUAUGGAAGGCCAUCGCUCAACGGAUAAAAGCUACCCUGGGGAUAACAGGCUUAUCUCCCCCAAGAGUCCACAUCGACGGGGAGGUUUGGCACCUCGAUGUCGGCUCAUCGCAUCCUGGGGCUGUAGUCGGUCCCAAGGGUUGGGCUGUUCGCCCAUUAAAGCGGUACGCGAGCUGGUUCAGAACGUCGUGAGACAGUUCGGUCCCUAUCCGUCGGGCGUAGGAAAUUUGAGAGGACCUGUCCUUAGUACGAGAGGACCGGGAUGGACAUACCUCUGGUGUACCAGUUGUGCCGCCAGGCGCAUCGCUGGGUAGCUACGUAUGGAUGUGAUAAACGCUGAAAGCAUCUAAGUGUGAAACACACCUCGAGAUGAGAUUUCCCAUUCCUUUAUGGAAGUAAGACCCCUGAAAGAUGAUCAGGUAGAUAGGUUAGAAGUGGCAGUGCGGUGACGCAUGAAGCGGACUAAUACUAAUCGGUCGAGGACUUAACCAAG